rnacentral:rRNA from 1 species
AUUGAACGCUGGCGGCAUGCCUUACACAUGCAAGUCGAACGGUAACGGGCCUUCGGGUGCCGACGAGUGGCGAACGGGUGAGUAAUGUAUCGGAACGUACCUUUCAGUGGGGGAUAACGUAGCGAAAGUUACGCUAAUACCGCAUAUUCUGUGAGCAGGAAAGCAGGGGAUCGCAAGACCUUGCGCUGAUUGAGCGGCCGAUAUCAGAUUAGCUAGUUGGUGAGGUAAAGGCUCACCAAGGCGACGAUCUGUAGCGGGCCUGAGAGGAUGAUCCGCCACACUGGAACUGAGACACGGUCCAGACUCCUACGGGAGGCAGCAGUGGGGAAUUUUGGACAAUGGGGGCAACCCUGAUCCAGCCAUGCCGCGUGAGUGAAGAAGGCCUUCGGGUUGUAAAGCUCUUUCGGCCGGGAAGAAAUCGUAUGGGUUAAUACCCUGUGCGGAUGACGGUACCGGCAUAAGAAGCACCGGCUAACUACGUG